UGGGAACGUGCCCAUCGGUUCGGGAUAACCCAGGGAAACUUGGGCUAAUACCGGAUACGUGCAAGAGCAGAAAGAUUUAUCGCCUAGGGAUGAGCCCGCGUAGGAUUAGCUAGUUGGUGGGUAAAAGCCUACCAAGGCGACGAUCCUUAGCUGGUCUGAGAGGAUGAUCAGCCACACUGGGACUGAGACACGGCCCAGACUCCUACGGGAGGCAG
rnacentral:rRNA from 1 species